GGGUCAGUAAGUUGGUCGUGCCACCGGUACGUACUGGUCUCACUGAUUCCUCCUUCCUGAAGAACCGUAAUGCCAUUAAUUUGGUGUUGCGGGGAAACAGGACUGUUACUUCGAAAAAAUUAGAGUGUUUAAAGCAAGCUAACGCUUGAAUACAUUAGCAUGGAAUAAUGAAAUAGGACGAUCGAUCCUAUUUUGUUGGUUUCUAGGAUUGACGUA
rnacentral:rRNA from 1 species